UACGUAGGGAGCAAGCGUUGUCCGGAAUUACUGGGUGUAAAGGGAGCGUAGGCGGGAAGACAAGUUGAAUGUUAAAUCUAUCGGCUCAACCGGUAGCCGCGUUCAAAACUGUUUUUCUUGAGUGAAGUAGAGGUUGGCGGAAUUCCUAGUGUAGCGGUGAAAUGCGUAGAUAUUAGGAGGAACACCAGUGGCGAAGGCGGCCAACUGGGCUUUUACUGACGCUGAGGCUCGAAAGCGUGGGGAGCAAACAGG
rnacentral:rRNA from 1 species